UUACUGAUGAAGAGUCCAAAACCAGGACGAAACAGCUGUCCAGUAC
rnacentral:hammerhead_ribozyme from 1 species